UCUUCAGUGAUGAUUGAUACAGUGACUUUCGUUCUUCUGAGUUCACUGAAGCCAACCCUCUGUACUGAGAAGA
ensembl:snoRNA SNORD59A small nucleolar RNA SNORD59